ACGGGCGGUGUGUGCAAGGAGCAGGGACGUAUUCACCGCGCGAUAAUGACACGCAGUUACUAGGGAUUCCAUAUUCGUGAGGGCGAGUUGCAGCCCUCAGUCAUAACUGUGGUAACGUUUGAGGAUUACCUCCUCCUUUCGGAUUUGGAACACAUUGUCGUUACCAUUGCAGCCCGCGUGUGGCCCCAGAGUUUCGGGGCAUACUGACCUGCCGUGGCCCCUUCCUUCCUCCGUAUUAACUACGGCGGUCCCGCUAAUUCGCCCCACUACUCCUGAGAGUAAUGGUGGCAACUAGAGGCAAGGAUCUCGCUCGUUACCUGACUUAACAGGACAUCUCACGGCACGAGCUGGCGACGGCCAUGCACCACCUCUCAGCUUGUCUGGUAAAGUCUUCAGCUUGACCUUCAUUCUGCUGUCUCUCCGGGUAAGAUUUCUGGCGUUGACUCCAAUUGAACCGCAGGCUUCACCCCUUGUGGUGCUCCCCCGCCAAUUCCUUUAAGUUUCAUACUUGCGUACGUACUUCCCAGGCGGCAAACUUAACGGCUUCCCUGCAACACUGCAUUGGCAUCAAGCCAAUGCAUCACUGAGUUUGCAUAGUUUACAGCUGGGACUACCCGGGUAUCUAAUCCGGUUUGCUCCCCCAGCUUUCAUCCCUCACCGUCGGACGUGUUCUGGUAGACCGCCUUCGCCACAGGUGGUCAUCGAGAGAUCAAAGGAUUUUACCCCUUCCUCCCGAGUACCGUCUACCUCUCCCACUCCCUAGCUUUGCAGUAUUUCCGGCAGCCCAUACGUUGAGCGUAUGGAUUUAACCGAAAACUGACAAAGC
rnacentral:rRNA from 1 species